CCCACUUUAGAAAAUUUAAUCCCCCCAAAUUUAUCAUGAAUAGGUCAGAGAACUUCUCUCGAAUUUCACUCUCUAAUUCUCAUGUCACCUCCUCCCGAAUAUGGUGUUGCCAUUGCACCGUUACCAUUAAAAUCCUCUUGUUGCACAAACCUUUAUCGAUCCAACCCAGGAUUUCUGCGGGGAGCGCCUCAUAUGUCAUAUCAGC
rnacentral:lncRNA from 1 species